rnacentral:rRNA from 1 species
GCUUACGGCCAUACCACCCUGAAAGCGUCUGAUCUCGGAAGCUAAGCAGGGACGGGCUUGGUUAGUACCUGGAUGGGAGACCGCCUGGGAAUACCAGGUGUUGUAGGCU